CGAGCGGUAGAGAGAAGCUUGCUUCUCUUGAGAGCGGCGGACGGGUGAGUAAUGCCUAGGAAUCUGCCUGGUAGUGGGGGAUAACGUUCGGAAACGGACGCUAAUACCGCAUACGUCCUACGGGAGAAAGCAGGGGACCUUCGGGCCUUGCGCUAUCAGAUGAGCCUAGGUCGGAUUAGCUAGUUGGUGAGGUAAUGGCUCACCAAGGCGACGAUCCGUAACUGGUCUGAGAGGAUGAUCAGUCACACUGGAACUGAGACACGGUCCAGACUCCUACGGGAGGCAGCAGUGGGGAAUAUUGGACAAUGGGCGAAAGCCUGAUCCAGCCAUGCCGCGUGUGUGAAGAAGGUCUUCGGAUUGUAAAGCACUUUAAGUUGGGAGGAAGGGUUGUAGAUUAAUACUCUGCAAUUUUGACGUUACCGACAGAAUAAGCACCGGCUAACUCUGUGCCAGCAGCCGCGGUAAUACAGAGGGUGCAAGCGUUAAUCGGAAUUACUGGGCGUAAAGCGCGCGUAGGUGGUUUGUUAAGUUGGAUGUGAAAUCCCCGGGCUCAACCUGGGAACUGCAUUCAAAACUGACUGACUAGAGUAUGGUAGAGGGUGGUGGAAUUUCCUGUGUAGCGGUGAAAUGCGUAGAUAUAGGAAGGAACACCAGUGGCGAAGGCGACCACCUGGACUAAUACUGACACUGAGGUGCGAAAGCGUGGGGAGCAAACAGGAUUAGAUACCCUGGUAGUCCACGCCGUAAACGAUGUCAACUAGCCGUUGGAAGCCUUGAGCUUUUAGUGGCGCAGCUAACGCAUUAAGUUGACCGCCUGGGGAGUACGGCCGCAAGGUUAAAACUCAAAUGAAUUGACGGGGG
rnacentral:rRNA from 1 species